GGCGCACGGUGGAUGCCUUGGCACUAGAAGCCGAUGAAGGACGUUACUAACGACGAUAUGCUUUGGGGAGCUGUAAGUAAGCUUUGAUCCAGAGAUUUCCGAAUGGGGAAACCCAGCAUGAGUUAUGUCAUGUUAUCGAUAUGUGAAUACAUAGCAUAUCAGAAGGCACACCCGGAGAACUGAAACAUCUUAGUACCCGGAGGAAGAGAAAGAAAAUUCGAUUCCCUUAGUAGCGGCGAGCGAAACGGGAAGAGCCCAAACCAACAAGCUUGCUUGUUGGGGUUGUAGGACACUCUAUACGGAGUUACAAAGGACGACAUUAGACGAAUCAUCUGGAAAGAUGAAUCAAAGAAGGUAAUAAUCCUGUAGUCGAAAAUGUUGUCUCUCUUGAGUGGAUCCUGAGUACGACGGAGCACGUGAAAUUCCGUCGGAAUCUGGGAGGACCAUCUCCUAAGGCUAAAUACUCUCUAGUGACCGAUAGUGAACCAGUACCGUGAGGGAAAGGUGAAAAGCACCCCGGAAGGGGAGUGAAAUAGAACCUGAAACCGUGUGCUUACAAGUAGUCAGAGCCCGUUAAUGGGUGAUGGCGUGCCUUUUGUAGAAUGAACCGGCGAGUUACGAUUUGAUGCAAGGUUAAGCAGUAAAUGUGGAGCCGUAGCGAAAGCGAGUCUGAAUAGGGCGUUUAGUAUUUGGUCGUAGACCCGAAACCAGGUGAUCUACCCUUGGUCAGGUUGAAGUUCAGGUAACACUGAAUGGAGGACCGAACCGACUUACGUUGAAAAGUGAGCGGAUGAACUGAGGGUAGCGGAGAAAUUCCAAUCGAACCUGGAGAUAGCUGGUUCUCUCCGAAAUAGCUUUAGGGCUAGCCUCAAGUGAUGAUUAUUGGAGGUAGAGCACUGUUUGGACGAGGGGCCCCUCUCGGGUUACCGAAUUCAGACAAACUCCGAAUGCCAAUUAAUUUAACUUGGGAGUCAGAACAUGGGUGAUAAGGUCCGUGUUCGAAAGGGAAACAGCCCAGACCACCAGCUAAGGUCCCAAAAUAUAUGUUAAGUGGAAAAGGAUGUGGCGUUGCCCAGACAACUAGGAUGUUGGCUUAGAAGCAGCCAUCAUUUAAAGAGUGCGUAAUAGCUCACUAGUCGAGUGACACUGCGCCGAAAAUGUACCGGGGCUAAACAUAUUACCGAAGCUGUGGAUUGUCCUUUGGACAAUGGUAGGAGAGCGUUCUAAGGGCGUUGAAGCAUGAUCGUAAGGACAUGUGGAGCGCUUAGAAGUGAGAAUGCCGGUGUGAGUAGCGAAAGACGGGUGAGAAUCCCGUCCACCGAUUGACUAAGGUUUCCAGAGGAAGGCUCGUCCGCUCUGGGUUAGUCGGGUCCUAAGCUGAGGCCGACAGGCGUAGGCGAUGGAUAACAGGUUGAUAUUCCUGUACCACCUAUAAUCGUUUUAAUCGAUGGGGGGACGCAGUAGGAUAGGCGAAGCGUGCGAUUGGAUUGCACGUCUAAGCAGUAAGGCUGAGUAUUAGGCAAAUCCGGUACUCGUUAAGGCUGAGCUGUGAUGGGGAGAAGACAUUGUGUCUUCGAGUCGUUGAUUUCACACUGCCGAGAAAAGCCUCUAGAUAGAAAAUAGGUGCCCGUACCGCAAACCGACACAGGUAGUCAAGAUGAGAAUUCUAAGGUGAGCGAGCGAACUCUCGUUAAGGAACUCGGCAAAAUGACCCCGUAACUUCGGGAGAAGGGGUGCUCUUUAGGGUUAACGCCCAGAAGAGCCGCAGUGAAUAGGCCCAAGCGACUGUUUAUCAAAAACACAGGUCUCUGCUAAACCGUAAGGUGAUGUAUAGGGGCUGACGCCUGCCCGGUGCUGGAAGGUUAAGAGGAGUGGUUAGCUUCUGCGAAGCUACGAAUCGAAGCCCCAGUAAACGGCGGCCGUAACUAUAACGGUCCUAAGGUAGCGAAAUUCCUUGUCGGGUAAGUUCCGACCCGCACGAAAGGCGUAACGAUUUGGGCACUGUCUCAACGAGAGACUCGGUGAAAUCAUAGUACCUGUGAAGAUGCAGGUUACCCGCGACAGGACGGAAAGACCCCGUGGAGCUUUACUGUAGCCUGAUAUUGAAAUUCGGCACAGCUUGUACAGGAUAGGUAGGAGCCUUUGAAACGUGAGCGCUAGCUUACGUGGAGG
rnacentral:rRNA from 1 species